CCAAUAGCGUAUAUUAAAGUUGUUGCAGUUAAAAAGCUCAUAGUUGAAUUUCGGGAUUGACACAUCGGUCGUGCCUUAAGGGGUAUGAACUGGUGUAGUCAAUUUCUCACCUUCUGGAGAACCGCGAUGUCCUUAAUUGGGUGCCGCGAGGAACCAGGACCUUUACUUUGAAAAAAUUAGAGUGUUUAAAGCAGGCAUUUUUGCUUGAAUACAUUAGCAUGGAAUAAUAAAAUAGGACGGCAUGAUUCUAUUUUGUUGGUUUCUAGGAUCACCGUAAUGAUUAAUAGGGAUAGUUGGGGGCAUUAGUAUUCAAUUGUCAGAGGUGAAAUUCUUGGAUUUAUUGAAGACUAACUACUGCGAAAGCAUUUGCCAAGGAUGUUUCCAUUAAUCAAGAACGAAAGUUAGGGGAUCGAAGACGAUCAGAUACCGUCGUAGUCUUAACCAUAAACUAUGCCGACUAGGAAUCAGACGAUGUUAAUUUUUUAAUGACUCGUUUGGCACCUUACG
rnacentral:rRNA from 1 species